rnacentral:rRNA from 1 species
UAGUCCACGCCGUAAACGAUGAUUACUCGCUGUUGGCGAUACACUGUCAGUGGCUGAGCGAAAGCAUUAAGUAAUCCACCUGGGGAGUACGGUCGCAAGAUUGAAACUCAAAGGAAUUGACGGGGGCCCGCACAAGCGGUGGAGCAUGUGGUUUAAUUCGAUGAUACGCGAGGAACCUUACCAGGGCUUAAAUGUAUGUUGACAGAUUUGGAAACAGAUUUUUCUUCGGACAAUAUACAAGGUGCUGCAUGGUUGUCGUCAGCUCGUGCUGUGAAGUGUCGGGUUAAGUCCCAUAACGAGCGCAGCCCCUAUUCUUAGUUGCCAGCGAUUCAAGUCGGGGACUCUAAGAAAACUGCCAGCGCAAGCUGUGAGGAAGGUGGGGAUGACGUCAAAUCAUCACGGCCCUUACGUCCUGGGCUACACACGUGCUACAAUGGUGCAUACAGAGGGCAGCUACCUGGCGACAGGAUGCGAAUCUCAAAAGUGCA